rnacentral:rRNA from 1 species
AUUGAACGCUGGCGGCAUGCUUUACACAUGCAAGUCGAACGGCAGCGCGGGCUUCGGCCUGGCGGCGCGUGGCGAACGGGGGAGUAAUGCAUCUGAACGUGCCCCGUAGAGGGGGGUAGCCCGGCGAAAGCCGGGUUUAUAUAGCACACGCCCUGAAGGUGAAAGAGGGGGGGCGCAAGGCCUCGUGCUCUUGGGGCGGCCGAUGUCGGAUUUGCUAGUUGGUGGGGGAAAGGCUUACCAAGGCGACGAUCCGUAGCUGGUCUGAGAGGACGACCAGCCACACUGGGACUGAGACACGGCCCAGACUCCUACGGGAGGCAGCAGUGGGGAAUUUUGGACAAUGGGGGCAACCCUGAUCCAGCCAUGCCGCGUGCGGGAAGAAGGCCUUCGGGUUGUAAACCGCUUUUGUUCGGGAAGAAAUCCUCUGGGCUAAUACCCCGGGGGGAUGACGGUACCGGAGGAAUAAGCACCGGCUAACUACGUG